rnacentral:lncRNA from 1 species
GCCCUGCGGCCUUCAGGCCUGGUCUCACCUGCCCCAGCUUGAUGAUGGGGUUGUAGGAGGGGAGGGGAGAGAAGCCAGUGGACACAUACCUCAGGGGACUCUGUUUCCAGAGGAAGAUGCUGUGCCUAAACCUGCCUUGGAACCUAAGAGACCUUGGUCCCAGGGGCAGCUUGGACCUCGGUCAGGAAGUCACUGUGCCCACCCCGAGGACUGCAGAUCUCCAUGCAGGACAGCUUAUGCUGUGCCGUUUUCCAAGACACGUGGGUCCUCAGGAUCAGGCCAACCACCAGACCAAGUUCCUGAAAGCCAUGAGUCUCUGAAAACUCUCUGCACUUCUCCCCUCCAACGGAGCCAUGAAGAGCCCUCUGCACCCCUCCCAGCCUCACAGUCAACAUUGACCCUCCCCGAGGAAGUGCCAACCCCUCCUUCUUUGAGGAAAUCCCUCUGCCCUAUGCCUCCGAGGAAGUCAGUCCAGAAGGGGCAUCACUGGCAGGAACACCAGGCAGAGCAUAUGGAUAGCCCCCUGCCUGUGUCCCCUCCAAGAACUGUGGUUCUCACGCGACCCCAACCCCAACCCUGUAGCCCCCAAGUCAAGCAUCCACUGCUGGACCUGUUCAACAACAACUCCAGCAGCAGCAUCCCUCUAGGGCUGCAGGGGCCCUCAGGAGUGGCUGUCCACAGGAAUAGAUCUGAAAAGGACCAGUGCUGUCAGGAGCCUGUGCUGCCUCUGGAGAGCAAUGGAGAUGAGCAUCACUUGAGGCCAGUGCAGGGCACAGGUCACCCUCAAGCACCCAUUCUGAUGGGAACAAGAAAAGGAGGAGUAGCAUUACCUCUGCCCUGGGGCUCAAAAAGCUUUUCUCAGCCCUGGGCCACACACCCCAGCCCAGACUUGGCCCAUCCCGAAGCUACAGUGUGGAACAACUGCAGCCCUCAGCCCUGGCUCCACAGACCAGCACCCCCAAAGUGAAAAGAGCCCCAUCGUUACAGACCCUGCAUCUGGUGUCAUCCUCCCAUCAGCAUCGGAGAGCAACUUCCUUCCAGAACCUCCAUUCUCUGCUAGGUGGCAAGGGAGACCGGUCCAGCCUCUACCUGGUAGAGGGGUCAGGGGACAGCAGUGGACCCAGCAGGCCAGCCAAGGCCUUUCCCCAUCGUGCCCUCAGUGUGGAAGAUGUGGGUGCCCCUAGCCUGGCUCGUACUGUGGGCCGCGUGGUGGAGGUGUUCCCAGAUGGCACGAGCCAGCUGCAGCUGCAGCGACCCCCAAAGGGCACCUUUGGAUUCCAUGUAGCCCAUGGCAGUGGCCGGCGAGACUCAGGGCUCUAUGUGCAGGCCAUGGCUGACCUGGACACCGCGAAGCUGUACUCGGGGCUGCUCAGGGUCGGGGAUGAGAUUCUGGAGGUGGGCGGGGCCAAGGUUGCUGGACUGGGCUUGGCUCACAUCAAAGAGCUACUGGCUCAUGCGGAGAGCUUGUCCAUUCGUGUCCUGAGACAAAGGCCGGUCCCCCAGUGACCCAGAAGUACCGCUGCUCUUGCUGACACUCCUACAGGACCCCUGACCCACACACGCAGCAGGAGGGGCUAGAAACAUGCCACCCAGAGAUAACAUGUGAACGGAAAAUGCAGUUCACAGAUCAGGCAUCUGUCUGGGCAGUGGCAGAAGCUGUUCUGAUCGGCCCCCUGCAGGAAGAGGCCGAGUACCCGUGUGUACGUUCAGUUAAGAUCACUAAUUUAUACAGGUCUAGAGACAGAGAAUCCUGGUCUCCUCCUUCACAGAAGUGGUCACGUUCCUUUGUUGGAGGGAGAGAACUGCCACUGACUAAUCCUUGGGUUGGUCCCUGAGAGCUGGCCUCAGCUUCUGGCCACACUCACUGAGAAGGCUCCCCAGCCCCCAGCAAACCAGAGACAGCGUGGCCACCCUGGCUUUGUGCCCCAUCUCUUUCAGCCGUGGCUUUCCUGGUUUCCAUGUGACACUUUGCUUCUGAUCCAGAAAGGGCUCAGUGUCUUGGCACAGCCUGACAGCCAGGAGCACAUAUUCCUAACUGUGUGUUCUGUGAAAUAUGGCCUGACAGGAGUUCUGUGCCCCUUCUGGGUAUGCAAACUUCUGAGAGAUUCUGGGAGCCAGAAUAUUAAGAAUUACUAGAGAUUUUUAUGACCAACACAAAGUUGAAAAAUGAAACUAUUGCCAUUUGCAGCAAGUGUGGCCAUGGUACUAAGGAUGUGGGGGGCCGGCCCAGCCAGCCCUUUGCCUCCACCCCUGCUAGACAGAGGUUGUUGCAGCCUGGCCUGGGCGGGCCUUUGUCUUUGUUCUCUUGUCCAGCUUGGAGCCAGGGCUGCAGCUGGUGUCUGGCUCUCCCCCAGCUGCAGGGUUCCUAUCCAGACCUCCCUGGUGGCAGCUGUGGGUGGGCAGCAGGCAGGGAGGCUGCGAGCUGGAGGUGGCCAUCCCACCUAGGCAUAGCGCAGCCUGCUCAGCUUAGAUCCUGCUCAAGGGCUGGGGACGCUAGAUGCCUGGACAGGCGUCAGUCUUAAAUUAUUAAAAAGCCAAAGCUGCUUUCACUG